AGAGCGAACGCUGGCGGCAGGCUUAACACAUGCAAGUCGAGCGGGCGUAGCAAUACGUCAGCGGCAGACGGGUGAGUAACGCGUGGGAACGUACCUUUUGGUUCGGAACAACCCAGGGAAACUUGGGCUAAUACCGGAUAAGCCCUUACGGGGAAAGAUUUAUCGCCGAAAGAUCGGCCCGCGUCUGAUUAGCUAGUUGGUGAGGUAAUGGCUCACCAAGGCGACGAUCAGUAGCUGGUCUGAGAGGAUGAUCAGCCACAUUGGGACUGAGACACGGCCCAAACUCCUACGGGAGGCAGCAGUGGGGAAUAUUGGACAAUGGGCGCAAGCCUGAUCCAGCCAUGCCGCGUGAGUGAUGAAGGCCCUAGGGUUGUAAAGCUCUUUUGUGCGGGAAGAUAAUGACGGUACCGCAAGAAUAACGCCCGGCUAACUUCGCGCCAGCAGCCGC
rnacentral:rRNA from 1 species